rnacentral:rRNA from 1 species
AUACGUAGGUGGCAAGCGUUGUCCGGAAUUACUGGGUGUAAAGGGAGUGUAGGCGGGAUCGCAAGUCAGAAGUGAAAAUUAUGGGCUCAACUCAUAACCUGCUUUUGAAACUGCGAUUCUUGAGUGAAGUAGAGGCAAGCGGAAUUCCUAGUGUAGCGGUGAAAUGCGUAGAUAUUAGGAGGAACACCAGUAGCGAAGGCGGCUUUCUGGACUGUAACUGACACUGAGGCACGAAAGCGUGGGGAGC